rnacentral:misc_RNA from 1 species
GAUGAAGAACGUAGCGAAAUGCGAUACGUAGUGUGAAUUGCAGAAUUCCGUGAACCAUCAAAUCUUUGAACGCAUAUUGCGCUCGAGGCUUCGGCCGAGAGCAUGUCUGCCUCAGCGUCGGUAUUACCCCUCGCUUCUCAACCCCUGGUUGAUGCCUGCCUGCCUUUGCAGUUGGCUAGAAGCGGAUCUGGCUUUCCCAAUUGCCUUUGGUAGUUGGGUCAGCUGAAGCACAGAGGCGUGAGCAAGGACCCUUAUUGGGCUUCAACUGGAUAGGUAGAACUGGUCUUAGGACCAACUACACGAAGUUGUUGCUUGUGGUCUUUUGUCUGGAGGCCAGCAGGAAUCCUUUAUACCUUCGACCUGAGCUCAGGCAAGAUUACCCGCUGAACUUAAGCAUAUCAAUAAGCGGAGGA